CAAUGCGCGUUUGCCCUUGCUUUACCGGCCUGUCAGCCCCAUAUCCUCAAGUGCUACGUUACUACACGAUCCAUACUGCACCUUUCGGCCCAGUCACUUGAUCCUCUGCACUGACGCGCCGGUCCGCUGCAUGUUGCGAGCGGAACUACAAAAGGAAUGACGGUAUGGCUAACGGCACCGUAAAAUGGUUCAACACCACCAAAGGCUACGGCUUUAUUGCCCCUGAGGGUGGCUCCAAGGACGUUUUCGUUCACAUUUCCGCGGUUGAGCGGUCUGGCCUGACAGGUCUGGCAGACAACCAGAAAGUGACUUUCGACAUCGAAGCAGGCCGUGACGGCCGCGAAAGCGCGAUCAACCUGUCUCUCGACGACUAAGUCCGGGAUCGACUAAUUGAACGGGCGUGGCAGAUCCCUCUGCCGCGCCCGUUUUU
rnacentral:misc_RNA from 1 species